UUUUCCUCCCGAGGGUCGGCGGCGGCUCCAGCUGCGUUACGAGCCGGGGCUGCUUCCCUGAAAGUUACGCCCAAGGGUUUCCGCAGCCCCAGUUUAUACAGUCCUGCAAAAUGAUCCACAUGGGCAGAUCCUUACACCCGCAUAGACUCAUUCCAUCCACAUGAAACAGCUUGCAAUCUCCAGCCAUUGAAGUAAUGAGAAUCUGAGUUUCCUUAAAACCAAUUUAAAUUACUAGCCCUCAUGGAUUCAGAGAAAAGCUGGAAAAUGUGACCUGAGUGUCACCUAACGGUUCAAAAACCAGAAGACAGGACAAAGAAUUCCAAAUGUAUUAUAAUUUAAAAUAUCAUGAUUUUUAAAGUAAUCUUGUGAUUUAUUGGGGCCUGACACUUGAUUUUUUAACAGUUGAGGGGUUUAGUAAUACCGAUGUUAUGACAAUAAUUCAGUAAGUUCCCCUAGCCAUUCAACCAUUUUCCCAUACUUCCCCAUCACCGCUCCUGCCUGCUCCUCUCUACCCUGCGUGGGAGAAAAGGGGGCCUUUUAUAGAUCAUUGACUGGGAGGUGGGAGAGAGAAGUUACUAUCCUAAGUGGUUGACUGGAGGCAGGGAAGUAGAAACUCAUGUUUUCCUUAUUGUCUCUGACAUGACACUUUCCCUGGCAGGCACUGGGCAGUAGCAGCCAGGAAUGAGAGAUCUGUGGGCUCAUUGCCUCACUGGGCAACUGAGGGAAAAAAAAUGGAAGAAAUUUUUGCCCACCAAUGAAAUGCAGCCAUAGUCAAGAAGCAUGGAGCCCACAGAGUGCUGCACUGUUCUCAUGAACGUUGCAAAUACAGAAUACACAAUUCCGCUGGAAAUACUGCAACAACAAGGGACAUGAUGAUUUUUUCAAGGCCAGUUUCCUGAGGGAUAGUGAACAACAAUUCAAGUUUGUUGGUGCAUUCAUGGAGCAGCUGCAGAUGAUGGAGCAUCUCUUCUUGGCCUGAGAAAUAAGCACUGACUAGUGGGAUCACAUGAUAAUUCAGAUUUGGGAUGAUGAGCUGCAGAACUUUCAGCUGCAAAAGCUCACAUUCCUGGAUCUGUUUUCCUAGCUCGCCCCAGCCCUCCAGCGCAUGGAUGCCAGAAUGAGAGAUGUAUUGACAGUGGAAAAGUGAGUGAUAAUCACAUUGUAGAAGGAGAGGAAUUUGGGGAGGCCAGCUCCACACAGGAGGGAUGUGGGAAGGAGAAGGGUUGCGGGGGCAGCCCCACAUGGGAGGGAGAGGGGCUCCGGGGGGCAAAUCCUCACAGGAAGGAGGAGAAAGGAGAGCAGCUUGGGGGGCCAGCUCCGUCUGGGGCGGGGGCGGGAGGUAUAUGCUCACUCUGCCACAGCUCCGGUAUCUGACCUGGCCGGGGUAGGGCCUCAGGGGGAAGAGGAGGACCAGGGUGGUGGGGCAGAGGGGAGAGGAGUUCUGACCUGUGGGAGCCCCCCAAUUGGCCAGGGCCCUUGGGCACAGGCCCCGUGGGCCCAUAUAGUAAUCCGCCACUGUGUAUGGUGGUGUUAAGAUAUGUUCCAAAGUCAGUUGGCAAACAGGUUUGUCUCAAACAAAGGAAUGUGUGCUCUGCUUAAUUUGCAUUUAAGCAAUAAACAGAGUCAUCAAGCAGGAAGGGAAACAAAAGAAGUUCAAACAGGUGCAAAAAAAGCACCAGGGAACAUCCUUCCGCAUAGACUUUUUGUCUCCUGGUACCCAGCUGGAAAUGUAUUUCAGGCAGGGAACUGUGAUGGGGUGUCUGCCCCACACUGGGCCAUAAGGGGUUAACAGAGCCCUAGGGCAGCUGUGUGAAAAGCAGCCAAUAGGAAAAGGUCUGUGAGGAGCAGCCGAUUAGGGCUGGGCAGGCUGAUAUAAGAAGAGCUGCAGGGCAGAGUAAGUUUAGUAGUUAUCUGGAGCUUGAGGAGGGAGGAUCAGGCUCUUAGCAUGAGGAAGAAGUGCUAGUACCCUGGUCAGAGUAGUGCUGCUAGCAGGGACUGGGAAGGCUAGAGAGAACUCAUGGCUAGCUGCUAAGACUGGUGGGCUGAAGCCCUGAGGUAAGGGUAAAGAAGGUGCUGGGGGCUACGAGAAAGUGGCCCAGGGAAAUGAACUGAGGAGGCAGAGAGGACGCAGCAAGUGGUGGCCAUCUACAGGGUCCCUGGGCUGGGACCUGGAGUAGUGGGUGAGCCUGGGUCCCCCCUCACUCACCACUGAGGAAGUGGCUGGACUGAGGGACUGUGAUACUGUCCCCUAGAAGCGGGGAGCACAGAGCGCAGCACAGUCAGAGGGCUGUGUCCUGAAGAGGACGCUGUGGUCCUUGGACUGACAUAGGUACAGGAGCAGAAGUGACAGCAGAAAGACAACACCAGAAGAAGGUGCACUGGUUAGCAAAGCUAAUCCAUGGGACAGCAGGAGGUGCUGUAGUGGUGAGCAAACUCUGUUAGGAGGACUGAAACUAUAAAAAGGAAGGACGAACACCCCAAGGCACUCUUUUCCCUCUUCCCCCUCCCUUCCCAUCAAUUCACUGCACCUGAAGGAACAAAGUAAGCAGCUGUUGGACUGGGGGAAGGGUGCUUGGUCAGUAAGACUGCUGAAAGCAUGUGUUGAGACAAUUUUGCUCUGAAUUUAACAUCAUUUGUUUGUUUUUCUUGUAACUAUUUCUGAUUUUUAUGCCUCAUUACUUGUACUCAAAUUCCUCUCUUUAUAGUUAAUAAACUUGUUUCAUCUAAUCCAGUGUGUUUAAAUUGAAGUGUCUGGGGAAACUCCAUUUGGAGUGACAAGUUAUGUGCCUAUUAUUUCUAUUAAAGAAAUAACGGACUUUAUAUAACUUGUAUUGCCCAGGAGACAGCUGGGCAGUACAGGACAUACAUUUCUGGGAGGAAAUCUAAGAAGUGGGGUUUGUGUUGGGGUCACCCUGCAGCAUAAUCCAGGCUGGUGAGAGCCAGAGUGUAACCCAGUGUGGCUGGCAGGCUGCAGUUACACACAAACGUACAGGAUUUGGCUUGCAUGCUGGAAGACUAUUUGUGAGUGGCCCAGGGGGGAGCUGCUUCAACCAGAGCAUUGUAAGGCACUUAAGGUUCCUGGGCAGGGGUGACACAGCUACUCGUUAGGGAGGAUUGUACCAUGGUAUGUCAACCUGAGCAGUGCUAGGUUUACAGUGGUGCCAUUGCUGCUGGAGGGGCUCUGAAGCCUGGCCCCACCCCACAUUCUGCUUGCUCUCUGCCCCAAAACCCCACCUAUACUCAGUCCCUGCUCCUGCUCUUCCCCAAGGCCCUGCCCCCACUUGGCCUCUUCCCCAGGAAGACCUGCUUGCUAAUCUCUG